CUGCCCGCAACUCCCCUACCCUCCCCUGCUUUCCAUUCUCUUUUCCCCCUCGCUGCGCCACCACACCACCACCACCAUCUUAUCACCCCUCAAAUCCAUCUCCGCCCCACACUCCCCGGCGAGCCGCCGCUCCCAGAACCAGCCCGAAAACCUACACUCAAACUCCCCUGUUUCGUCUCCUCUGCUCGCCCCUUUCCCCUCUUCAUCGUUAAUCAUGCUGCCGUGAACCACCCUCACCGUCGCAUUACCGGCGCUUCCUUGCGCCGCCAUUCCACCCAGGUGUCGGCCACCUUCAGCCGACCACCACCCCACAACCCUCGCCUUUCCCUCCUUUGCUCGACCACCCUCUCCCCUUCCGUGAUGUUCCGCGCCGCCACAAACAACCACCAACAUCAUCGUCACCUCUGGUCGCAGUUCCGGGCGGCACCGAGCCACCCAGACCCCAGCCUCCUUCCUCCCUCCUCUCUCCCUCCUCUUCGUCCGUUUCCCCUGUUCUUGGUGCCCUGCUUCGUGCCCAGCUUCCCAAAGAAACGAGUUCCAGUUUAUUGGAACUUUGUACCCUUUUCUUUUUUUUACUCAAAUUAAAGCCCAAAUGUGUUAGGCCCAAAAUCCCAAAAAAUCGGACUUGGAGCUCAGGAAGAACGAUCCAUCAGACGGGAAGUAUAAAACGACAGUUGAGGUACUGCGGGGAUCGAUGGAAACGAGUAGAGGCGAGGAAUUUCACUUUAAUAAAAUUCACCUAGUUUAUGCUUAAAGUUAUAAUAGUUUAAUUAAAGACUUUUAGUAAGUUAUGUACUUUUAUUUUGAGAAUAUAGAGGAUUAUUAUAUUAUAUUGGAGGUUUUUAUGGCUUAUGUAUGAUGUUUCCUUGUAAUUUCCAAGACGGAA